CCUACGGGUGGCAGCAGUGGGGAAUAUUGGGCAAUGGAGGAAACUCUGACCCAGCAACGCCGCGUGAAUGAUGAAGGUCUUCGGAUUGUAAAGCUCUGUCAGCAGGGAAGAAAAUGACGGUACCUGACCAAGAAGCCCCGGCUAAAUACGUGCCAGCAGCCGCGGUAAUACGUAUGGGGCAAGCGUUAUCCGGAUUUACUGGGUGUAAAGGGAGCGUAGGCGGCAGGGCAAGCCUGAUGUGAAAGCCCGGGGCUCAACCCCGGGACUGCAUUGGGAACUGCCCUGCUGGAGUGCCGGAGGGGCAGGCGGAAUUCCUGGUGUAGCGGUGAAAUGCGUAGAUAUUAGGAGGAACACCAGUGGCGAAGGCGGCCUGCUGGACGGUGACUGACGCUGAGGCUCGAAAGCGUGGGGAGCAAACAGGAUUAGAUACCCGGGUAGUC
rnacentral:rRNA from 1 species